CGGCGGACGGGUGAGUAACACGUGGAUAACCUACCUAUAAGACUGGGAUAACUUCGGGAAACCGGAGCUAAUACCGGAUAAUAUAUUGAACCGCAUGGUCCAAUAGUGAAAGACGGUUUUGCUGUCACUUAUAGAUGGAUCCGCGUCGCAUUAGCUAGUUGGUAAGGUAACGGCUUACCAAGGCAACGAUGCGUAGCCGACCUGAGAGGGUGAUCGGCCACACUGGAACUGAGACACGGUCCAG
rnacentral:rRNA from 1 species